AAUUGAUGGCAUAGAAUCUGCAGCUACUUCUACAUAACUACUAUGGUCAAUAAGGAGCCCAGAAUGACAUUUUUCCCUGAUGGUUUCCAUUCUGUUUGCUGUAAAUGAUCUGCAACAAUUUGGGAAUGACCAUUU
rnacentral:snoRNA from 1 species